CAACACUGUUUUGAAAUAUAUAUAUAUAUAUAUAUAUUAUUUUUUUUUAAUUGGGGUAGCCCCCAAAAUAUUGGGACAUAUAAAAAAAGACAACUUUGUUCCGCAGAGUAGCUGUUGACAUUAUAGUUGCGCAGGAACUUUGUUGACUCUAGAGAACCUCGGGCAAAUCGCACAUCCUCGUGGCGCCGACUUUGUCAUCCAUAUCAACUUUCGAUGCCAGUUUCUGCGCCUACUAUGGUGAACACGGGUAAUGGGGAAUCAGGGUUCCAUUCCGUACAGGGACCCUGAGAAAUGGCUACCACAUGCAAGGAUAGCAG